UUGAAUUUUUGCUGGGGAUUGUAGCUGGUCCGAUGGUUGGACAUGUGCACGUCUCUUGCUGUUUUGUUUUAUAUCCACCUGUGCAUGAAUUGUAGACACCCUAGGAUUUUAGAGAGACCACUUUGAUUAAGAAGGAAAAAAAGGGGGCUCUUGUUCAAGGUCUAGGUUGUCUAUGUAAUUUUUGUAUACAUAAUAUGUGGUUUGAAUGUCUUAUAUAUAUAUAAUAAUAAAAAGUA
rnacentral:misc_RNA from 1 species